AAACCAACAGGGAUUGCCUUAGUAACGGCGAGUGAAGCGGCAAAAGCUCAAAUUUGAAAUCGGCCACCAGGUCGAGUUGUAAUUUGUAGAUUGUAUCUUGAGAGCGGAUUAAAGUCUGUUGGAACACAGCGCCUUAGAGGGUGACAGCCCCGUAAAAUCUAUUCUCAUUGUAAGAUACUUUCGAA
rnacentral:rRNA from 1 species